rnacentral:rRNA from 1 species
AUACGGAGGAUCCGAGCGUUAUCCCGGAUUUAUUGGGUUUAAAGGGUGCGCAGGCGGGAUGUUUAAGUCGGCGGUGAAAUUUUGCAGCUCAACUGUAAAAGUGCCUUCGAUACUGGCUUUCUUGAGUGUGGAUGAAGUAGGCGGAAUUUGUGGUGUAGCGGUGAAAUGCUUAGAUAUCACGAGGAACUCCGAUUGCGCAGGCAGCUUACUAAACUACUACUGACGCUCAGGCACGAAGGCGUGGGGAUC